UCGCAUCAAGGCCAACAAACUUGAUUUCCCCACUAAUGAAGUAUAGUGGUCAACCAAGGAUCAAUCCAAGGACUCAACUAUGAUUAAGUUUCAGAAAUGUUUGAUUAAAAUCUUAUGUUAUUUAUUUACUAAUACAAUGUGGGGAAGAGAAAUGAAAACAAAGAAAUUAAAAAAAAUAAGAAAGCCAAACUAUAAUCUGUCUAAAAGAAAUGAAGGAAGGUGAUAAAGAAAUACCUGAAACCUAAGCUAAAAUAUAAAUCUAUGUAAAACAGUACAGAAUCUAAACUAAAAUGAGAAUUGAAAGCAACCUAAAACUAACAUGCUAAAAAUUAACAAAGCAAGGAAACUAAAAUUAAAACUAACACUGAAUAUAGAAACUAUAAUUGAGUGA
rnacentral:lncRNA from 1 species